CGCGGCGCCGCUCGCCGCCGCCUCCCGCUCCGCCGCCUGGGCCGGGCGGCGCGGCCGCUGCGCUGCGGGAGCUGCCCCGGAGCGGCGCGGGGCUCGUCGGCCGGAAGGUGAGCGAGGAGGCAGCGCGACGGGAGCGGGGAGGGCUGCUGCCGGUGUGUGCCGAUAUCUGCGGAGGAAUGCAUGAGGAACACUGA
rnacentral:lncRNA from 1 species